AUUGAACGCUGGCGGCAUGCCUUACACAUGCAAGUCGAACGGCAGCGGGGGAGAAGCUUGCUUUUCCUGCCGGCGAGUGGCGAACGGGUGAGUAAUACAUCGGAACGUGCCCUGUAGUGGGGGAUAACUAGUCGAAAGAUUAGCUAAUACCGCAUACGACCUGAGGGUGAAAGUGGGGGACCGCAAGGCCUUAUGCUAUAGGAGCGGCCGAUGUCUGAUUAGCUAGUUGGUGGGGUAAAGGCCUACCAAGGAGACGAUCAGUAGCUGGUCUGAGAGGACGAUCAGCCACACUGGGACUGAGACACGGCCCAGACUCCUACGGGAGGCAGCAGUGGGGAAUUUUGGACAAUGGGCGAAAGCCUGAUCCAGCAAUGCCGCGUGUGUGAAGAAGGCCUUCGGGUUGUAAAGCACUUUUGUCCGGAAAGAAAUGGCUCUGGUUAAUACCUGGGGUCGAUGACGGUACCGGAAGAAUAAGGACCGGCUAACUACGUGCCAGCAGCCGCAGUAA
rnacentral:rRNA from 1 species